ACUGUAUGAUGAAUAUACGAUGACAAGCAUAUGGCUGAAUGGUAGUGAUGUCGUUUUACUGCUGACAAGU